UACGGAGGGUGCAAGGCGUUAUCCGGAUUUACUGGGUUUAAAGGGAGCGUAGGUGGGUCGGUAAGUCAGUGGUGAAAUCUUCGGAGCUUAACUCGGAAACUGCCAUUGAUACUAUCGAUCUUGAAUUAUCCGGAGGUAAGCGGAAUAUGUCAUGUAGCGGUGAAAUGCUUAGAUAUGACAUAGAACACCCAUUGCGAAGGCAGCUUACUACGGAUAUAUUGACACUGAGGCUCGAAAGCGUGGGGAGUCAAACAGGA
rnacentral:rRNA from 1 species